rnacentral:lncRNA from 1 species
UAUAAAACCUCUAUUCCAUUAUAGGUUAUUACAAGUUUGGUUUUUUUUUUUUUUGCUUUUUUAGGACUGUACCCGCGGCAUAUGGAGGUUCCCAGGCUAGGGGUCUAAUCUGAGCCGACCUAGACCACAGCUCAUGGCAACGCCAGAUCCUUAAUCCACUGAUAGAGGCCAGGGACCAAACCGGCAAUCUCAUGCUUCAUAGUCAGAUUCGUUUCCGCUGCGCCGCAAUGGGAACUCCAAAGAUUUUUUUUUUUUUAGCAUGAAAAAUUUGGUGCUGAUUCUUAAUCCAUUUACCCCAUUUAUCCAGGCCAAGAACAUACACGUUAUGCUGUUGGAGCACAGCUCUGGUAACAGAGAUGCCUGCAAAAAAUAAAAAGAGAAAAGGAUCAAGCAUAUUAAGAUGUCUUUUGGAAGCCACUGAUGGGAGUCCCUCUGGAGAGCCACAGAAGAACAAUUUGUUCAUCCAGCAUGGAGGUAAUGGGGACAGUAUUGGUAUUGCCAUUUUGUUCAUGGGAUUCAUAGGCUGAAAG